CAUGUAUAUCUUCCUGUCAAAAAACUUAAAGAAAAAAAAGUCAAGACUGCACAUUUUGGAGGAUUAAUCAUCUGAGAUUUUUCUUUAAUUUAUCACCAACAGGAGUAAUGUUCACUUUCUGUUUUACAGGGACACCCACAUAGACUUUAGAAAGCAUAAAUAAAAUUAUGUCCACACAGGCUGUGGGUCUGUGCAGCAGCUGUUCACAUGACACUAUAUUUUAUCUGCAUACAUUUAAUCAUUUUUUUUCCUAAGCAACUGUCUCAAUCUGUCAAAAUAUUUGUAAAUGGAUUCAGUUUCCAGUGAAAUUUGCUUUCACUAGCACAACAGAGAGACAGGGAAGACUUAUACCCAGUGGGAAGAAAAAAAAGCAAAAUUGUUUUCCAUUGCAGGUUGAACAGCUCAGUCCUAAGGCGUUUGCCUUGAUGGCUGUGUGAAGCCAGUACUCUCACUUAGCAGCUACCUCAUUUCUGGGCCGAGAUGUUUCAUUUCAUCAGACGGAUUUCUCCACAGCUGAACAAGCACAAACAACAUGCAGAGAAAGCCGGGAUUUUAGAACCACUCUGCCGGAAAAUGUCACGUAAAUAUUACCGACCCGCUCGGCCAGCAGGAGCUUUGCAGGGCACGCUGCGGAUCGGGCUGCCCCCCAUAAAAUAAAAAAAUAAAAAAAUUUGCUUUGCUGUUAUUUUGGACGCUCCAGCGAGGAAAGUUCCGUGGGGCUUCUGUGCUGCCGGGGCGAGGCAGCAGAUGGUGCUGGUGCUGCAGGAACCGCCGCUCGCUGCCUCUUCAUUGACUGGAAAAGAGGUCAGAGGAAGAAAAGGCUCAUUACAAUCACAAUAUAUGCCAUGCAUAAACCCUAAUUUACAACUGCGGGGGAACACUGCAUUCUGGAUUACCUGUCAGUUGUAGACAGCAGCUACCACUUCAGAGUUACAACAAAGGAGAAAUGGAAGGCUUCUCUGCUCCCAGGAAGAUCUACCAUACAGACACAGAAUACUACCUGUGACCAGUAGACUCUUCUGAGUACUGUCUUAGGUGUUAGAGAUUUUAAUUUGAAGUGGGGUUCACAAUAGCAUUUUUAAGAAGCCAAAUCCAGGGUGCUUACUCGGACUAGCCUGGGUGCUUCCUGCUUGCACUGGUUGGGUCCAGAUGUGAGCAUUCUGCUCAGUUUGAUCCUGGUUGGCACAUGGAGAGAGUUAUGGAUCUCUGGGGCCCAGAGGAAAUGGCUGGACAGAGAACUUCCUGGGACUGCUGCAUCUGCUGUAGACAUUCAGCUAACUGUGCAUUUUCUGGGAUUCAGAAGGGCCAUCUGCUACCCACACAGUCAAGAGGAAAGCCAAACAAAAAAGAAGGCAGCAAAGAUGAAGGUUUCCCAUGCAAUCUGGAGUGACUCUUGCUUUUGAAAUAAGGCAAUCUGGAGAACAUUAAAGCUGUUCUUAGAAGAAUAAACAACCUUGUGCAGAUGCAGAAGAAAGGCAGAGAAAUAUUAGAUGACUUAUCCACAGUCUGCAGCAGGGGAUGAAAUGUACAUGUGGAGGCGGUGUUGAUGAAGAACUAGUGCUGGAGGAUUGCUCGCGUUUCACCAGAAAAGGCUCUCCAGUCCGCAGCUCUCGGAUUUUCCCUCUCGUGUCACUCAAGCAAACUGCCCUGAGCUUCCCUGCUGCCGAGGUCGGAGCAGAGCCACCGCUGCCCUCUGGCCCCCGCCGGGAGCCCGCACACCAGCACCCGCUCGGAGCCCCGGGGGCACACACACACACAGACACAGACACACACGGACAGACACACACGGACAGACACACACGGACACACAGACACACACACGAGCUGAGCUCCCCAGCGCUGCCGAGAGCCAAAUGGGAUUUUGCCUGAAUGAGUACUGGGGGGUGGGCACUCGUUCAGAGCCACAAACAACUCGUUA